CGCAAUGGGCGAAAGUCUGACGGAGCGACGCCGCGUGAUUGAUGAAGCUUUUCGGAGUGUAAAGAUCUUUUAUGAGGGAAGAAGUUUAUUGACGGUACCUCAUGAAUAAGGGGCUCCUAAUCUCGUGCCAGCAGGAGCGGUAAUACGAGAGCCCCGAGCGUUAUCCGGAAUUAUUGGGCGUAAAGGGUGCGUAGGUGGUCGUGUUAGUCGUUUGUCAAAUACCCGGGCUUAACCCGGGAACCGCGAACGAAACGGCACAACUUGAGAGUGUGAGGGGUGAAUGGAACUCAUGGUGUAGGGGUGAAAUCCGUUGAUAUCAUGGGGAACACCAAAAGCGAAGGCAAUUCACUGGCACAUAUCUGACACUCAAGCACGAAAGCGU
rnacentral:rRNA from 1 species